ACAGCUUUGAACGUUGGCUAAUCAUCCUUGUCACUAAUGGCGACUCUGAAUCCCUUUUAUUUUAUUACUUUGAUUGUUAUAUUAAUCUGUCCUGUGUCUUCUCCAGCUUCAUCUGCUCGACCCGCCAGUGGAUUUCAAGAUUAUCUCACCAGUCCCAGCACCAAACCGGUUCCAAAUUUUGUUAAAGUGGAAUAUACCGGAUCUCCUGUAACACAAUUUUUGGUUCGUCGGAAGCUUGCAGGACACGGAGGGGGUCCAGGUGGUCGUGGGCCAGGAGGAUCUGUGCCACCACCACCACCACAAACCCGUUAGUCUUAACUGUGUCUCUUGCGCAGCUUCUCUUUAGUUUUCUGACUGGAUCCGAUGUUUGUUGCCGGAUUUGCAGCUGGACACCUCCGAUGCUCAAUUUCAGAUGUGCAGAGAUGACGAUGUCUGAGGUUCGAUCGUCAGUCGUCACUCAAGCAUUCGACCUCUUUUUCUUAUUGAUUUUUUUUUUUUUUGGGGUGGGGGGUUGGGGUGGGGGAGAAUUUCCUAUUGACUCUAACAUUGUCAGAUGUAGAGAGAUGGCCGGUGUCCAACCUCCGAUUGUCACAUAUUCUAUCUUUGGGG